rnacentral:pre_miRNA from 1 species
UAAUAAUAAUAAUAAUAAUGAUGAUGAUGAUGAUGAUGAUGAUGAUCAUCAUCAUCAUCAUCAUCAUCAUCAUCAUCAUCAUCAUCAUUAUCCUCA